rnacentral:rRNA from 1 species
UACGUAGGGGGCAAGCGUUGUCCGGAUUUAUUGGGCGUAAAGAGCGUGUAGGCGGCCAGACAGGUCCGUUGUGAAAACUCGAGGCUCAACCUCGAGACGCCGGUGGAAACCAUCUAGCUAGAGUCCGGAAGAGGAGAGUGGAAUUCCUGGUGUAGCGGUGAAAUGCGCAGAUAUCAGGAAGAACACCCGUGGCGAAGGCGGCUCUCUGGGACGUGACUGACGCUGAGACGCGAAAGCGUGGGGAGCGAACAGG